ensembl:snRNA U6 U6 spliceosomal RNA
GUGCUCAUUUCAAAAGCACAUACAGUCAAAUUGGAACAACACAGAAAAGAUUAGCAUGGCCCCACACAAGGCUGACUCACUUUAUUGGUUUAAUUUCU